ACACUCCAUUCCUGCUAGUACAGACUCUGAACAGAGCAAAGAUCUGCCAUCAUGUGGAGACUUCUGAAGGAGUGGAAGGAGGAGGUGAAAAGUGCUAAGGUCCUACAGGAUGCCCCUCCACAGCAGCAUGUUGUUAAAAAGUCCUUUUUGGUGAAGGAUUUCCCAGGUUCAAUGCAUUGCUCUUCUUUUUUCCAUGUAGAAACGGAAAGAAAAAUCUAGCUAGGAAUGAAGUUAAAGAACUUGCUUUUUAGCUCAGGAGGAGGAAUAUGAACUCCAGAAAGACCCACAGAACUCAGAAGGGCUCUGGAAGUAUACGAUUAAAAAAAAAAAUAAGCACACAGUAGAAACAUUAUAAAUAACAGUCGAAAUAUUAACUACAAGAAGUAGCAAUGAGCACAUUGGCAUGGCUGGCUUUGUACCAGCUGAAGCAGAGGAAGGUCAAUCAUGGCUCUUUACUAAGAACAGAAAGAAUUUUACACAUCUGAAAAGAAUCUGGAGAUAGCACUUAAACAUAUAUUUUAACACUAAAGCAAUAAAAUACCAAGAAAUCACUAAGUGCCAUCCUGGGAGGUCAGGUUGAGUGGAGACAGUGGAGACCAUGUAAAUCAAAGGUUGGUCCUGUAGAUGAAAGUGGGGCCCAGGCAGCUCUCAGUCCUUGCAGCUCGCUUGUGGGUGUAGGACUGAAAAUCAAAUGAGGGAAGGUUCUGUUACUACUCCAUUUAACAGAUAAGGAAACUGGGGCCAAGUAACAGGUAAUUUAGCAAAUAAAUAGCACAGAAGAGCUCUGACCCACAGCUUGCCGUCUUCAGGCCCAGCACCCUCAACUUCUGCACAAAACAGCUUUGUGAACCAACGACCUCAGACCUGGAAUCACAAAUGGAAGAUGAACUAAUGGAACUAGUCAGUUCUUCCCAGGUUAACGGGCAGCUCUGAUUGCCGUGAAGCCCAAGGUCCAACGAUCAAUUAAAGGAACCUACAGGAAUCACUAUGGUAGAGUCAGUCUGGGAACCCCAUUUACAGCAUGGGAACUGAGCAAUCAAGCUUUUCACAGUGACUGAAGCUGCAGGUUUAACAAUGCCAAGGAGGGAUGGGCCCAGUCUUCCCAUGAAUUCAUUAAUUGUGUUUAUUAUACAUAUUGUCUACCUAUGUCUUUGAGGAAUGGGAUCAAAAAGUAUGAGUGACAACACCUUGAAUACAGAACUGUGGUUCCUGCUCAGUCCAGGUUAAAGGGAAUUCUGUUUCUGGCACAGCUACUGGGGUCCUAGCUCUUCCUAACAGUCUAACCAGCCCAGAGAAAAUCUAAGCAGUACAUUCCACCCUACUGGUGAAGCUUAAAGUCAAUUUUAUAAAUAUACAUAGAUCACCUAGAGAAAAAAGUAAUUUAAGUAGGGAGAAAAUUAUUUAUCUUUGUUUGAAAAAAAGUCCUGUAAAUAUUUAAAUCUGACUGUGGAAGACAGUUGCACAAAUGAGUGGACGUGGCCAGGUUGCAGAGCAGCUAUGCUUCCCUGUCACUGCUCCAUUAGAGACUGAAGGGCUGCUUCCCAGCAUGACGAUAGCUCCCAUGGCCCCAAUACCUGGCCUGGUCCCAGAAGGAGUUUGGGAAGGGCCUGGCCCAGUUUGUGGGGAAAUCUCUGCCCCAGCAUUGGGAUUCUCCUUUGUCUAUCCUCCAGCAACAGCUACUGGAGUACAUCCCCUUCAGACACUAUUUGUUUAUCCAGUCUUUACUUCCUGUCAUUUGGACAGUCUCACAUAUAUAUGCAGACCAGCAGUGCCAUGCACUAGGGCUUUUGCACACAGACCCAAGUGGUCAUCUAAUUCAUAAUUAAGUAGCAAAUGCUUUAUAAGGGAGCAUAACAAAAAAAAAGUGCAUAUUGAAAGAACUAUUUUGUUCACUUCACUUGAAUUUCACUUGAAUAAUUACACUUGAAUAACUACACUUGAAUUUCACUUGAAUAAUUACAAAAUCCCCUAGAAAACUUGAAAAGUAGCCUACAGCCUCAAAGAUUCACACUAAGGUAAUGUUUUUUGUACUGUCUUCAUAUCUGUAUUUAUCCAUUGACUGGAAUUUACUCAAUAAUCACUACUUGAGUCCAAGGUCUACUUUUUAUUAUUAACCUCGUGGUUGGUUUUACCUGUGUUAACUGGUUUGAAUCCGGAUGACACUUUAUCAUAAUGAUAGACUAUAAUAAUUUUAGAUACAAAUUACCAAGAAUAAUACGUGUUAUUUUACAAGAAUUUAGAAGGGCCCAGUCCCCAUACCCAUGGAAUUUACAAUCUACUUUUUGUGUAAUGCCAUGUUCACUGUCAAUAUACAACCCACAAUAUCUACUAUUAAUAAUUAGGUCAAUUAAUUGUCUCACUAUUGCAAUAUGUACACCUAUUUUGAUAUAUGUCAAAAAAGUCACCACAUACAUUAUGAGUUUCAAAGGUAAUUCCAUGAAAAGGAAUCAAGUAACUGAUCUUGUUAGGAGCCACUGUCAACAUGUUCUUCAAGUAAAAUAUUACAACUUCUUAAAAGGCUUUUUCUAAAACUAUACUUAUAUUUAAUUUUAAUUGGUGAGCCAUUCACCAAACUCAAUUGGGUAAUUAACAAGUGGAAAAUACAUGUUUUGCCAACAGCAGUGGUGUGCUGAACAAGCUCAUAGUAGCUCCACAAGAAACACUUGUCAAAUUUUUAGAAGUUUUUUUACCUGUUUGUUAACCUUUACCGUUUUAAAUAUUAAAUUAUAUAAACUUACAACUUCAUAAAUUAUAUUAAAUGCAAAAGUAAUAACUCACAGUUCAUCAAUUCCUAAACAUUUUAUCCCAUUUUACCAUGUCCUGUGCUCUUAAUCAUGUUGGUGUGGUGGAAGUACGACAUGAUGGUGAGCUGACAUGCAACUAGUCCUAACUCCAUGUUCUGUCUAUCCCAUUGGUAGCACGAGAUGGGCCAUGGUAGGGGUAUUAUUGCCACAGAAAUCAGCAAACAUCACCAACCAGGGCUUGAUUUAUUGCUUUGUUGACUGCAUGGGCUUAAAAAAAUGAGGAAGAAAAUGUUUAUAAUGCAGAUUAAAUUUAAAAGUGUGUUGUGUAUAUAGCUGUUACAUUAUGAAGUAGGGCUCCAAAAUGAGGAAAUAUUCUUCCAGUGUACAAAACCUAUUAUCUGAUUUAGCAAAGAAGUCACUUACCUCACUGAAAGCACGUCAAAUUCCAACAUCCAUCUUCAUUGUUUACUUUCUCCUUACUCGCUAGCAUAAUUAUGAAAACAUCAACCCAUAGUCAUGUCAGAAUCACAUUUGUACAUCUGCUGCAGUGCUAGGUUGGCUACAGAUAGGAGAUUUCAGCAAAAAUCAACAAAAGCAUUCUUUGAGAAUCAAAUGGAAUUUAUAAUAGAGAGUAAUGUGUAUUUUAUUAUUAUUUGUAAAUUGUGUGCAAUGUAUCUUUAUACCAGGAUGGUUGAUAAUAAAGUUAUGUGUGUAUUAUAUGCACAUGUUUUUUUUUUAUUGGGAGCUGGUUGCUAAAC